rnacentral:rRNA from 1 species
AUGCGCCAUCUCCAUCAUGCUCAUAAUCUUCCCUGGUUGCUGAUUGGGGACUUAAACGAAAUUCAGUUUCUACACGAAAAAGAGGGUGGGAAUCCACACCCACAACAGUAUAUGCAUGCAUUUCAAAAUGCUAUUGAUGAUUGUGAGCAAAGGGAUAUGGGUUUUUUGGGUGAUAAAUUCACAUGGCAUCGAGGACGGAUCCAAGAACGACUAGACAGGGGUUUGGUGAAUGAAGCAUUGGCAAAUCUUUUUCCCAUGGCAGCUUUGGAAAACUUACAGUACAACCACUCGGAUCAUAGACCAUUGUUGGUCAACACUGAACACUAUACUGUGCCCGUUCAUGGCGAUGCAAGACCAUUGAGAUUUGAGUCGAGGUGGUUGCGAGAAGCAAAGUUCAAUGAUACUGUAAUGGACGCUUGGCAGAAAGUAGGGUCGGACCCUACAGCCAAUUCGGUUUAUGAGAAGUUAAAUCGCAUGCAUGCGAUGUUCCAUGACUGGGACCAGAGGGUUUUGAAGAAACCUAAACAACGCCUUCAUAUAGUGCAGGGUGAUCUUGAGAGGGUGAUGAGAGGCCCAAUCACUAGUAGAAAAAGGGCCUAUUGUCCCGGUUGGUAA